UAGCACAGGAGAGCUUGCUCUCGGGUGACGAGCGGCGGACGGGUGAGUAAUGUCUGGGAAACUGCCUGAUGGAGGGGGAUAACUACUGGAAACGGUAGCUAAUACCGCAUAACGUCGCAAGACCAAAGAGGGGGACCUUCGGGCCUCUUGCCAUCAGAUGUGCCCAGAUGGGAUUAGCUAGUAGGUGGGGUAACGGCUCACCUAGGCGACGAUCCCUAGCUGGUCUGAGAGGAUGACCAGCCACACUGGAACUGAGACACGGUCCAGACUCCUACGGGAGGCAGCAGUGGGGAAUAUUGCACAAUGGGCGCAAGCCUGAUGCAGCCAUGCCGCGUGUAUGAAGAAGGCCUUCGGGUUGUAAAGUACUUUCAGCGAGGAGGAAGGCAUUGUGGUUAAUAACCUCAGUGAUUGACGUUACUCGCAGAAGAAGCACCGGCUAACUCCGUGCCAGCAGCCGCGGUAAUACGGAGGGUGCAAGCGUUAAUCGGAAUUACUGGGCGUAAAGCGCACGCAGGCGGUCUGUCAAGUCGGAUGUGAAAUCCCCGGGCUCAACCUGGGAACUGCAUUCGAAACUGGCAGGCUAGAGUCUUGUAGAGGGGGGUAGAAUUCCAGGUGUAGCGGUGAAAUGCGUAGAGAUCUGGAGGAAUACCGGUGGCGAAGGCGGCCCCCUGGACAAAGACU
rnacentral:rRNA from 1 species